UUUCCUUAACUCAGGAUUUAUGCAAAGUUUAAUUAUUCAGUAUUGCAAAUAAUGACCUUUUUAUUACUGUUAAUACAAUGAAAAUACUUUUCUGUAACUAAACAAAAAGUAACUUUAUGAUCCUUCAACUUGCAAGCUAUGGUCGUCAAGCCAGGAGAUAAUAUCGGACAAGACACGGAGGAUUACUUCGUCUGGUUCGCCUUCCAGCAGAGAAUGA
rnacentral:lncRNA from 1 species